rnacentral:rRNA from 1 species
UACGUAAGGGGCUAGCGUUGCUCGGAAUUACUGGGCGUAAAGGGCGUGUAGGCGGAUAUCCAAGUCGAAUGUAAAAAACCGCAGCUUAACUGCGGGACUGCGUUCGAAACUGGUUAUCUUGAGUCUGGUGGAGGGUAAUGGAAUUCCCGGUGUAGCGGUGAAAUGCGUAGAUAUCGGGAAGAACACCGAAGGCUAAAGCAGUUAUCUAUGCCAAGACUGACGCUGAGGCGCGAAAGCAUGGGGAU